ensembl:lncRNA
CCGAAGCCAAUCGGAGAGAUCCUUUUAAAGUUCUACGUUGAGCAGAAGAAAAUUGCAAGGACAUCUUAGGAGAAGUCACUUUAUUAACGUCAGCCAAAAACAGCACAAAAAGACCAAGGAACAAAAUCUGGAAAUGGUUACACGUCGACAUGACCAAAAGCCAACGGGACCCACACACAGCUUAUCGGUUUAACUGCAUUAGCCAGAACCGUAUCAAUCCACAAUCCACAGAAGGGAAGGCUACCCAACCAUAACGAGGAUUGACAACACAAAAUGAUAAAGAGAGUGGGGACUCACUGUGUCAGAUGUCGAGGAGGAUAUGGAGAGAAAAGGAGAGGGCUCGCAGCCGAUCGGUGUGAGAGGAUCACGAAAAAUCCUGCCAGAUAUCUGUGAUCCUGAAAGGCGACGAGAGCACCGGAGCGGUCGUGCUUCAAGCCGGGGUUAAUGACACCAAGCUGUGGCAGAUGGAGACACUGAAGAGGGACUUCAGGAGCCUGAUCAAGAUGGUGCGCUGCACAUUGCCCACUAUGAUGAUCAUCGUGUCAGGACCGCUUCCCACGUAUCGAUGAGGACACGAAAGGUUCAGUAGACUUUUUGCUUUAAAUGAAUGGUUAUUGUCAUGGUGUAAAGAACAGAAACUGCUAUUUGUUAAUAAUUUGAAUUUUUUCUGGGAGCAUCCUAGGCUUUUUCACACUGAUGGCCCGCACCCCAGCAGAGUCGGUGCGGAACUCCUGUCAGACAACAUCUCCAGGACACUACACUCCAUAUGACUAGUGCAUUUGACUUGAAGCAUGGCUACAGGCG